rnacentral:misc_RNA from 1 species
UGGAAAUGCAGAAAAAUCAGGUAUGGCCCUCAUUAGUAGUAUCAUUAUCUCACUUUCAAAUUGAAUCAGAACAUUUUAUCGAAUAAAAAAUCCAAAAUCAUGAUUCAUGUACAGAAAGCAAAUUUACUAGCCAUCUAAAAUUAUUACCUAUAUUCUGAAAGUUAAAUGUACAAGUCAUGCUAUUAUAUUUUAGUAAAGAUUCUCUGUUUAUGUACUUUGAUCAUUCCUUUUUGUAGUAUCAAAAUUGAAUGAUUGACUAUUUUUAAUUCUCAGUCUUAAUCUGUGUUAAAGACGUGAAUGGGUGAUAUUAUGAACUUUAGGUUGUCUAGGAAGGUAAUCAAUGGAAAUAAGGUAUCUCAGGAUUGGUUUUCUUGAUAGUGAAGAAUGAUUAAUUGUCGGCUUUCCUUUUUUUCCCUCUAGUGUUGCAACCAAUAUUUUUGUUCUCAGUUUAUUAAAACCAAGAUGAACAGGUGAAGUCAUUACAUUCUUCUAUUAAAACAAAGAUGAUAAUAAGUAUGCUUACAUUGGCAAACAUCUCUCAGCCAUUUUGAACGGCAAUAAACUUAAUGGUUUGAAACUGAGCCAUAUAAAUGCUGUCUCAUGAAAAAGGCCAAUAAAGUUAUCUAGUUUGACAAAAUGAGGAGGUAGUUUAGGGAAUGCGUUAAUGUUGAACUUCAAGUUGAUCUCUUUCUCCUCUUGUCUUUUGGAGUGCAUUGUAGUCACUCUCAAUUUCAAAAGGCAUUGCAGACUUACCUUAUCGAAGGGCUUUGCUUCUUUAUUAAACUAACCAUUAAAUCGAGUCUAAUAUUGUUCUAAGUAGAUUUUCCGUAGUUCUAAAAACUAUUUGCCGUAAGUUGACUUUGGCAUCAAAGUGAGAGGCUGAUGAUCAUUGUCUGUUUUGGCAGUUCCUGGAGACAAUAAAUCGGCAAUGGGGAUCUAAAAGGAAAUGCUUGCGGAGGACACUAACAGGCCCUUGGUAGAGCUCAUAUAUUUGAUUGUGGAUAGUGGCAGGGCUUGAACAUGCAAGGUCUACGGAUCGGAGGGUGCAGCUUUGGCCUGCAUCUUAUACUUCGAAGGUUAGGUAGCUGUACGUAUAGGAACAGAGGGUUGAGUUGUAAAUUAUGACUUGAAAUUAGUUUUACACUAUAGAUUAAACUUUAUUAUAUUGUCAUCUUUAUUUGCUUGUCAUUUGUUCGUAGAGGACAUGUAGGAUAGUGAAGCUAGUAUGCUACAGGGUUAGCUUAAUGAAUUGGGUUAGUUUCUAAACACCAAGAGAACUAGUCUUAUAUCUAUCAUAAAAAAAAAGAAAAAAAGAGCUAGUCUUAUUCAUGACAUAUGUAUAACUUUUGGCAUUGGUUAUUUGGCUCUGUAUAUUAUUUUGUGUUGGUGUUCGUACCGUUUUCAGUUCUUUUUCCAGAUUAGCUUAUCAGCUUUGCUAAUUUCUUGGAGAUGAAUGCAUAUUUGGAAAGCAGGAAGCUUUGGGAUAAAUUUCAGCAUUGUUUUCACUCCUGAAUGCACAGAGAUCAGCAGAACCAUCAUAUCUUUUUUGGGUGCAGGCGUUUCCUUUAAAACCAGACCUGUCAUUGUACUAAAACUGAACCAAUAAGUUGUUUAUUAUUUAAACCUAUUUAAAUGGUUUGACAAGAUUUUUUUUUUAAAUAACAUAUAAAGAAACAUAUAUUACAAAAUCAAACUGGAUUCACUCUUGGCUGGACCAGCCAAUUCGAUCAGGACACUUGCUGUCAGUGAUCAAAAGUGAUUUGCACGGUAGCUAGGAUUGAUCAUAAAUAGUAGGCUAACCCACAUCACCUGGCGUGGGUUUGAGGCUUUGAUUAUUACAGAUUUAUGCUUACCUGCUUGCAGCUUCGGAUAAGACACCGCUCAUACCACAUCCACAAAUCUUUU